UACUUUUUGUGAGGUUAAGAAAAUUGCUCCGGCGCCCUUCGAGGUAGUUGCCGUAAGAAGCGAAAAAUUCGAAAAUUUUGGAAAAAAUUCGUUCGAAAACGUUACCGAAUUUCCUUUUGCGGUUUUCUGGAGAUUGUGGGGGACGUGGAGGAGCGUAUUCGUGCGGUGGUGGGAUUCGGGGGAUAACUCGAAUAUGGAAACCGCGCGACCCGGAGCGUCUCUAUCGAAAAGGGGGUUUUUCGCAUUUUCUAACUUUGAGACCUUCUACGACCUAAACCGUUAGAGAACAAAACGUAAAAUUGUGCGAUUGUAGAUCUCGACGUAUUCUACGAGUUGUCGCUGGUCACUCCAUCACCCCCCCCCCCCAGUGGUGGGGACCGGAGUUUUUUUAAUAGCGCCGUCGGACAGAGAUUCUGGGUGGGAAUCGGCAUACGUAGGUACUUGCGGGCAAGUUUUCUCUUUCUUUUUCCACUUAAAACGAGAAGAUAACUUUGACGGCACCGCCUUAUAGCACGAAGAUUGCCGAUCGCGCAGUAACUGCCGUUUGAAUUAAUUAUGAGCUUAAUUUAGAGCGGAGAAUUUCGAAUGGGAUCUCAAAAAUCAAAUUCGCAUUAGAGCUUCUGUGAGCUCAAGCUAAAAAUCCGUAGGUGAAAGGAGAUCAAGUAAAUAGACUUAGGGUUCACUUUAUGGUGCGCUAUUAAUAAAUUUGUGUAAGGGGAAAGCUAGAUUGUGCGUGUUUAAAACAAUAUUGCACAAUUCGAACGAAAAUCAACCCCGGAAAUUUAAAACCGAGUUUCCAUGUUCUCGAAUCAUAAUUAGAGAGGAGUCCAGUUUUUUCCAAAGCUGGACGACUGGAGGGUAGAUUUAGACGUCUUACGUUUAAGGAUUGUUGACCGUUUAGAAAUUUGACGUCGAGACAGCAAUUAGAAAAAUUAGUAAAAAUUAAAUGCUGGAAUGUAAUCCCUGUUACAGGGACCUUACUUAAUCAAGAACAGUAUGUGUCGAAAUAAAAAAGACAUCAACGCUUAGACCGCUUUUACACGGGGAUACAGUCGCCGUCAGGCUGGCAUCUCGGAUACACGUGUUGCGUCUUAUGGAGCCGUUUACUCACGCAAACUUCUCGCAUACAGUAUUGGCGACUAAAUUUCGGUCGCUUGCUAGUCCCAGUCACCUGGUGAUUUUACGACUUUGGGGGAUUGGUGAGCUAUUAGUUCAUAUACUUUUUCAUUAUACCGCCACUGAACUAAAAAUACUCGUCAAAAAAGUAUCUCACUGCGAAUGAGCAGUUUAGAAUGUCUAAAGUCUCGAAGUGUAUUUGACAAAACUAUGGUGUCAACAAUCUCAGGUGGUGUUAUCGUUAAAAUCGAAACUUCGGUAACGACCAAACUAAAACGUAGUAACGUAGUAAUCGAACAAUUUACACACGGCCUUAAACUUGUAAGAUAAAUCCGCAAAAAUGCGUCAACGCAGCUUGGAAGUAAGAUAAUAAAAGAAACUUCACUAAUCGUAAGACAACACCAGUAUAUCCCAUAAAAUGGUAGCCAAAAAAUGUCAAGUAACUUAAUGGCAUGUAACUGCUUACACAGUAAGAAUCGAAUACGAGUUUCCGACAAGGACUGCGCGCGCCGACAGAAAUGGGAGAAAACGCACGAGAAGAAAUCUACUACGGGAAGAUCAUAAAAGAAAGCUAUACUUACAAUAACGAAGUAAUCACCUAGAUGACGUAAGCAUUGCUAUAUAAAGACAAGAAUUCGUAUAAUGAUAUUUGAGCGGGAUUCCACAUCGUAAUUUAAAUGAAAGCCAGAGCAAAGAUUAAACGGUAAAAAAUAUCGUCACACAUUUCUUCUUCAUUAUCAAUUAUUUUGUCAACAUGUGUACUUAUUAAGCUUUGGUGCCUUUAAAGCAAUUCUUUUGUUGCGUUAACCAGCUGGUCGCCCAGUAUAACACACACAAAAAUACAAACUACUGCAAUAUUAGGCAGAACUGCAGAGCUAACGCUUAAAAAAUGAGGCUGUCACCCCACUACGCGUCACUGAAAUGAUUUCCAAGAGCCACAAAAACUAGAUUUACAAACAAAAUGUAGUUGUAUUUAUUUUCACAAACAAUCACACACUCGGCUUACCCAAAUUACACAAGAUUCUAAAUUUACUGUGUUCGUAAACACACUUAAUAAAAUUUAAAAGCAAUUACAAACACCUUAAAUCUAAAAGUAAGCUUUUCCUAACACUACCCAAAACAAAUUGGAUGUUCAUCAAACCAGACAGGCACCCACUGGGACAUAUGAUCCUCGGCAAGAAGUUUUCAUCUUUUGAACGUUCAAACACUUCCUGACGAACUUGGACGCGAUGGGCUUUUUGGUCGUUCGUUAAAUUUCGCAGCAACGCAUUGCAUCUUCAAUUUUUCAGUCAAAAUCUCGUAACAUGAUCCAACUGAUAUACCACAGUUUGCAGCAAGCUCUCUGAUGGUCGGCUAAUCAACCAAUAAUCAUUUUUGCAAUCAACAAACAGCUAGUUCCUGGAGCCAAAUAUAGGCCCGCGCAAUUCAAACAGUCUACGUAAUUUUUGAAUAACCCUCGUAGGCACGUCACUCAUUAAAUGUAAUGGAUCAAAAAGUUCGAAAUUCACGAGUCCACAGAUGCAUUCUGUAUAGUAUACCAUAAAUACUCGUGUGGAAAUUUGCCUCGUGUAGGCGGCUAUUUUCCAAAUUGAAAUUACAGAAUGUGCCGCAGUACAAUAGCGAAUGCAUUUAUCCGAGAAACUGUCCUUCAAUCUAUUGCCUCUGAAAGUUUUUGAUACUUGUAAAUCUCCUCAAAAUACAGCGACGAACGAAAAAACCGAGACUUGAAAUCUGUCACAUUAAAUAAGUGGUUGGGUUAUGAAGGGUAAACGAAGAUCUGCUGUAAGUAAUGGCGCUGAGCAUUAUUUUUUGAGGAAACUGUUCUAAUCAAAAGGGAUUUUUAGAUACAUUGAAUUCCGAACGUACGCGAUUUUUCGAAACUGGAUUUUCCAAAUACGGAAUUUUAAAAGACUGCACAUUAAUAGUUUCUGGAUUUGUUCAAAAUCUUUCUGUUACUCUCGUGAGGUGGACCGUGAAUCGGAUGCCCCAAAACCGACAGUCUCAUUUUAUCUGUAUUGCAGAUCAUAGUCCUUUGGCGAAAUUUUGAAUUAAAAGUCCGCACAUGCUCACAAUGCGAGUGUAACUGCGUCUCAUGUUAAGCCAAUUGCUCCAAUUAUGCAAAUGGUCUAAUAAGUAUGGACUUAUUAUUAUAACUAAGUAUGCGAAAACGGAUACGUUUGCUUUGUGUAAGCUGAUAAAUACUUAACCAACAUAACCACUUAAGUAAAAGUGCCAAAACCUUGAAAACAGUACUAGGGUGUCUGAUUACCAUAACUUAACUCAUAUCAAAAGAAGUUUCUUCCGUAUCCGGAACAAGUAUUCGAGGUUUAUAUCCACUUUGUAACCAGUUCUUUGCGUAACCUUACCCGAUAUUAAUAAAUUAAAUAAAGCGAAGGUAAAUAAGAAAUAGAACGACCAGUAACACCUAUUUUCC